GAUAAUGCCAGUGAUUAGUGGUGAUAUUAAUAAGAGGUAAUGUGUGGUGACUCCCCCCUCAUCACUCGUAAAUUCAGACACAAUAAUAACUGUCAUCACAACAACAAUAAAAAGAAGAUAUAUAUUCAGGCGCGCAAAUUUCUGAAGGUAAUUUAUGUUUUUGAGAGAGAGAGAGAGAGAGAGAGAGAGAGAGAGAGAGAGAGAUAGACUGACAUUUAUCUCUAACUUGGUUUUGCUUUUAGGUGUGAUACCAUGAGAGAGAGAGAGAGAGAGAGAGAGAGAGAGAGAGAGAGAGAGAGAGAGAGGAACGUCCGGGCUUAGUUAUUUCAUUCCAGUCUGAUGUUGUCACGAGAGAGAGAGAGAGAGAGAGAGAGAGAGAGAGAGAGAGAGAGAGAGAGAGAGAGAGAGAGAGAGAGAGAGAGAGAGAGAGAGAGAGAGAGAGAGAGAGAGAGAGAGAGAGAGAGAGAGAGAGAGAGCGGGAACAGGCGUAAGUUGCAAUGUGAGGUAAGAAAGAAAGAAUGGGGAGAGGGGGAGGGAGAGAGGGAAGAAAGAAGGGAGUGAGGGAGGGAGGGAGGAAGGGAGGGGGAGAGUGAGGGAAAGAGGGAGUGAGAGGCAAAAGGAGGAUAGCAGGUUGAAGGAGCCCCAACCGGACAUUAGGGCGGGGCAUGGAGAGAGAGAGAGAGAGAGAGAGAGAGAGAGAGAGAGAGAGAGAGAGAGA